AUUGAACGCUGGCGGCAGGCCUAACACAUGCAAGUCGAGCGGGGUUUUCGGACCUAGCGGCGGACGGGUGAGUAAUGCGUAGGAAGCUACCCGAUAGAGGGGGAUACCAGUUGGAAACGACUGUUAAUACCGCAUAAUGUCUACGGACCAAAGUGUGGGACCUUCGGGCCACAUGCUAUCGGAUGCGCCUACGUGGGAUUAGCUAGUUGGUGGGGUAAUGGCUCACCAAGGCGACGAUCCCUAGCUGGUUUGAGAGGAUGAGCAGCCACACUGGAACUGAGACACGGUCCAGACUCCUACGGGAGGCAGCAGUGGGGAAUAUUGGACAAUGGGCGCAAGCCUGAUCCAGCCAUGCCGCGUGUGUGAAGAAGGCCUUCGGGUUGUAAAGCACUUUCAGUAGGGAGGAAGGGUGUUGAGUUAAUAGCGCAGCAUUUUGACGUUACCUACAGAAGAAGCACCGGCUAACUCUGUGCCAGCCGCCGCAGUAACAC
rnacentral:rRNA from 1 species